GCUGGUAGUGCAGCGUGUUAGAGCACGCGCCCCUAGACAGGGUGAAAUGCGGGUUCGUGUCCCGUUUGAAGCA